rnacentral:rRNA from 1 species
GAUGAACGCUGGCGGCGUGCCUAAUACAUGCAAGUCGAGCGAAUGGAUUAAGAGCUUGCUCUUAUGAAGUUAGCGGCGGACGGGUGAGUAACACGUGGGUAACCUGCCCAUAAGACUGGGAUAACUCCGGGAAACCGGGGCUAAUACCGGAUAACAUUUUGAACCGCAUGGUUCGAAAUUGAAAGGCGGCUUCGGCUGUCACUUAUGGAUGGACCCGCGUCGCAUUAGCUCGUUGGUGAGGUAACGGCUAACCAAGGCAACGAUGCGUAGCCGACCUGACAGGGGGGUUGACCAGGCGUGGACUGAGGCACGGCCCAGACUCCGACGGGGGGCAGCAGUAGGGAAUCUUCCGCGAGGGACGAAAGUCUGACGGAGCAACGCCGCGUGAGUGAUGAAGGCGUUCGGGUCGUAAAACUCUGUUGUUAGUGAAGAACAAGUGCUAGUUGAAUAAGCUGGCACCUGACGGUACCUAACCAGAAAGCCACGGCUAACUACGUGCCAGCAGCCGCGGUAA